rnacentral:rRNA from 1 species
CCCUUAGAUGUCCUGGGCCGCACGCGCGCUACACUGACAUGUUCAACAAGCCUCCUAGUUCGACAGGAUUUGGGAAAUCUUUGAACACAUGUCGUGAUAGGGAUAGAUCAUUGCAAUUAUUGAUCUUGAACGGGGAAUUCCUAGUAAACGCGAGUCAUCAGCUCGCAUUGAUUACGUCCCUGCCCUUUGUACACACCGCCCGUCGCACCUACCGAUUGAAUGUUUCGGUGAAGAUUCCGGAUAGGACUUUUUUGAUUUAUUUCAAUUUUGUCUUAAAAGCUAUCUAAACCUCAACAUUUAGAGGAAGGUGAAGUCGUAACA